rnacentral:rRNA from 1 species
UACGAAGGGGGCUAGCGUUGCUCGGAAUUACUGGGCGUAAAGGGUGCGUAGGCGGACAUUUAAGUCAGGGGUGAAAUCCCAGAGCUCAACUCUGGAACUGCCUUUGAUACUGGGUGUCUUGAGUGUGAUAGAGGUAUGUGGAACUCCGAGUGUAGAGGUGAAAUUCGUAGAUAUUCGGAAGAACACCAGUGGCGAAGGCGACAUACUGGAUCAUUACUGACGCUGAGGCUCGAAAGCGUGGGGAGCAAACAGG